rnacentral:tRNA from 1 species
GAGGGUAUAGCUCAGUGGUAGAGUGCAUGCCUAGCAUGCAUGCUGGGUUCAAUCCCCAGUACCUCCA